rnacentral:rRNA from 1 species
UACGUAGGGUGCGAGCGUUAAUCGGAAUUACUGGGCGUAAAGCGUGCGCAGGCGGUUUUGUAAGCCAGAUGUGAAAUCCCCGGGCUUAACCUGGGAAUUGCAUUUGAGACUGCGUAGCUAGGGUGCGGAAGAGGGAAGCGGAAUUUCCGGUGUAACGGUGAAAUGCGUAGAUAUCGGAAGGAACACCAGUGGCGAAAGCGGCUUCCUGGUCCAGCACCGACGUUCAGGCACGAAAGCGUGGGGAGCAAACAGG